AAUUUGAUCCUGGCUCAGGACGAACGCUGGCGGCGUGCCUAACACAUGCAAGUCGAGCGGGGAAUACAGCAAUGUAUUCCUAGCGGCGGACGGGUGAGUAACGCGUGGGCAACCUGCCCUGCACAGGGGGAUAACACAGGGAAACUUGUGCUAAUACCGCAUAACAUACUUAUAUGGCAUCAUAUAGGUAUCAAAGGAGCAAUCCGGUGCAGGAUGGGCCCGCGUCCGAUUAGCUAGUUGGUGGGGUAACGGCCUACCAAGCCGAUGACGGGUAGCUGGUCUGGGAGGAUGACCAGCCAGACUGGGACUGAGACACGGCCCAGACUCCUACGGGAGGCAGCAGCAAGGAAUUUUCGGCAAUGGGCGCAAGCCUGACCGAGCAACGCCGCGUGCGGGAUGACGGCCUUCGGGUUGUAAACCGCUUUUCGGGGGGACGAUGAUGACGGUACCCCCGGAACAAGCCCCGGCUAACUCUGUGCCAGCAGCCGCGGUAAGACAGAGGGGGCGAGCGUUGUCCGGAGUCACUGGGCGUAAAGCGCGCGCAGGCGGUCGCCAAAGUGUCGUGUGAAAGCCCCCGGCUCAACCGGGGGAGGCCAUGGCAAACUCGGCGACUGGAGCGGCGGAGAGGCCCCUCGAAUUGCCGGUGUAGCGGUGAAAUGCGUAGAGAUCGGCAGGAAGACCAAGGGGGAAGCCAGGGGGCUGGCCGCUGGCUGACGCUGANGCGCGACAGCGUGGGGAGCGAACCGGAUUAGAUACCCGGGUAGUCCACGCCGUAAACAAUGACCACUCGGCGUGCGGCGACUAUNACGUCGCGGUGCGCCUUAGCUCACGCGCUAAGUGGUCCGCCUGGGAACUACGAGCGCAAGCUUAAAACUCAAAGGAAUUGACGGGGGGCCGCACAGCAGCGGA
rnacentral:rRNA from 1 species